rnacentral:rRNA from 1 species
AGCAGCCGCGGUAACACCGGCGGCCCGAGUGGUGAUCGUGAUUAUUGGGUCUAAAGGGUCCGUAGCCGGUUUGGUCAGUCCUCCGGGAAAUCUGAUAGCUCAACUAUUAGGCUUUCGGGGGAUACUGCCAGACUUGGAACCGGGAGAGGUAAGAGGUACUACAGGGGUAGGAGUGAAAUCUUGUAAUCCCUGUGGGACCACCUGUGGCGAAGGCGUCUUACCAGAACGGGUUCGACGGUGAGGGACGAAAGCUGGGGGCACGAACCGGAUUAGAUACCCGGGUAGUCCCAGCCGUAAACGAUGCUCGCUAGGUGUCAGGCAUGGCGCGACCGUGUCUGGUGCCGCAGGGAAGCCGUGAAGCGAGCCACCUGGGAAGUACGGCCGCAAGGCUGAAACUUAAAGGAAUUGGCGGGGGAGCACAACAACGGGUGGAGCCCUGCGGUUUAAUUGGACUCAACGCCGGACAACUCACCGGGGGCGACAGCAAUAUGUAGGCCAAGCUGAAGACUUUGCCUGAAUCGCUGAGAAGAGGUGCAUGG